UACAGAGGGUGCAAGCGUUGUUCGGAAUUACUGGGCGUAAAGCGCGUGUAGGCUGACCGGAAAGUCGGGCGUGAAAGCCCUGGGCUCAACCCAGGAACUGCACUCGAAACUCCCGGUCUAGAGUGGUGGAGAGGGAAGUGGAAUUCCUGGUGUAGAGGUGAAAUUCGUAGAUAUCAGGAGGAACACCAGUGGCGAAGGCGGCUUCCUGGACACCAACUGACGCUGAGACGCGAAAGCGUGGGGAGCAAACAGG
rnacentral:rRNA from 1 species